CCCUUAGAUGUCCUGGGCUGCACGCGCGCUACACUGAUGUGUCCAGUAAGCACCUAACCUCUUCCGAAAGGAACGGGUAACCUUUGCAAAGCACAUCGUGAUGGGGAUAGAUUAUUGCAAUUAUUAGUCUUGAACGAGGAAUGCCUAGUAAGCACAAGUCAUCAGCUUGUGUUGAUUACGUCCCUGCCCUUUGUACACACCGCCCGUCGCUCCUACCGAUUGAAUGUUCCGGUGAGCUCUUCGGACUGCGCGGUCUGCAGUUUCUGCGUUCCGUGCGGAAAGUUGCGCAAACCUUAACAUUUAGAGGAAGGAGAAGUCGUAACA
rnacentral:rRNA from 1 species